rnacentral:lncRNA from 10 species
ACCACUGGGCCCUGAUCCUUCCUUUGUCUUCCAGGCCGGAGGGACUCGCCGGCUGUUGGUGCCGUAUCUGCUCCUGGGAGGGGCAGUUGGGUAGGGGGAGAUUGCCUCUUGCCUCUCUCUGCUCAACCCUUUUGCCUCUCCCUUAACCCCGUUGCUUCCAAAGCCACUUCGGGCCCCGUUCUACCCCUCAGUCGUCCGGUCUCCUUUCAGUCCAUUAAAUUCCAGGGAUGCUUUUACUUUGGCUGGGACGAAGAGAAGGAAGGAAAAGACUGGGAAGAAUGUUGCGAAAAUAGAAAUAGUGGGGGUAUACAGCGACAUUCCUACCAGCCUCAUGAAAAGGACGUGGCCUCCAUCAGAUGGAGGUUGACAGCAGGCUUGACUGGGUCUCAGGCCCCUGCUCCUCAGGGCCACUUGAUCACCCGCAGCGUCCACUAGGGGGGAAGGUCUUGGUCAUGUGGCGUCAGGAAAUGCCCUAGAGGGCCUGCUCACAGGGGCCUGUUGGACUAAGCAUGUCAGUUGUUUGCACUUACUGGACCUGAGUUGCUUAGAUUCCAAAUUUCUCCCGGGAAAAUAAGUAUACCGUCAACUGAUGGAAUAGGAAAUGUAGCAUUUUUUAUUUUAAUUGUUUAUGCUAAAAUCCAGAGUGCUCUAUUUCCCAUUCCUCAUUAACUUGCAUGUGGUUAUUUGCCAAAAUAUUAAGCCAGUCUCCCAUCUAGUUUUAGAAAUUUCAUAGUAUAGCUAUCACAAUAAGAAAGAUGGAUAAACAAAUAGAUCGUGUUUGUGCUUACUCUUUCAUAUUGUUUAUUCGUGCCAAUUGAGGUUUACUGAUCUUAGUAUUUAAUUUUAAUUCAUGUACCCUGAAUUUUGGGCUUCUUUCCUAAAACACAAGCAAAAGAGGCAGAGUAUAAAUUCUCCAGAAUUAGGGGGAUGAAAAUUGAUUUUUAAAAAGCUACAAUUUUUAUUUAUUUUUGCCUAAGCUGUUUUAAUUCCCACUUAGCUUGUUUGCCACGCAGCUUUAUAGUCAUUGAACAGGUUGACUCCUUCAGUUUCAUGGUUGUAAAAUUUUAUGUUUAGAGGAAAAUUUAAAUGAGAAAUAAUGUAUAUCACAUUAUCAUUUCUAUUAAGCCGUUUGCUAACACAAUAAUUAAAAUAAUUUCUGCCCAGUAGAGAAGUUACCGAAACUUUUUGUUUAGUGGGCCUCAUUUAUGAUAACUAAGCAGUAUCAUGGAAUGCUGUUUUAAAUAACAUCAGCUGUAACUAAGCUGUAAUUAAUCUUCAGACCUAUUUAGAAUUUUGUUUUUUGCUUUAAAAUUUAUUUCACAUUUUAUUUUUAUUGCUUUUUGCUUUUUUUAAUAGAAAACCCUUAACAGUGACGUAUAUGUAUAUAUACACACAUAUAUAAUUUUAUGAAACUUCUUUUUAUCAAUUACCUAAAUGUUAAACGUGGCAUAAGCAGAAUACUUACUCUUGGUACAUAUUCACAUACUUUAAUCAGUUUCUUAGUUGUAUUUUCUCCAAUACCAGAUACUCGCAUUUUUCCAAAGAAUGCAAUUUUUUUCAAUGUGGCCUUUCUUAUUUUUAAUUUGU